AGCGAACGCUGGCGGCAGGCUUAACACAUGCAAGUCGAGCGGGCGUAGCAAUACGUCAGCGGCAGACGGGUGAGUAACGCGUGGGAACAUACCUUUUGGUUCGGAACAACACAGGGAAACUUGUGCUAAUACCGGAUAAGCCCUUACGGGGAAAGAUUUAUCGCCGAAAGAUUGGCCCGCGUCUGAUUAGCUAGUUGGUGAGGUAACGGCUCACCAAGGCGACGAUCAGUAGCUGGCUGAGAGGAUGAUCAGCCACAUUGGGACUGAGACACGGCCCAAACUCCUACGGGAGGCAGCAGUGGGGAAUAUUGGACAAUGGGCGCAAGCCUGAUCCAGCCAUGCCGCGUGAGUGAUGAAGGCCCUAGGGUUGUAAAGCUCUUUUGUGCGGGAAGAUAAUGACGGUACCGCAAGAAUAAGCCCCGGCUAACUUCGUGCCAGCCGCCGCCGUAAG
rnacentral:rRNA from 1 species